rnacentral:lncRNA from 1 species
AACAACCCCACGGUACACGGUACAACAAGAAAAUAGCAUGCUGGACGUAGGUGCAGAGCUUCGGGGAAGGGUUCCCAGUGCACGUGAGGCUGGCGCUGGGGCCUGAGGGGUACAAGGUCCGCAGCACAGUCGCUGUUCAGGGCAUUUGAUGAAAGGAGGAACGAGUUCGCUGGCAAGGUGAAACGUGGUUUUGCCAUGUUAGCCAGGCUGGUCUUGAAGCCCUGACCUCAAGUGAUCCUCCCGCCUCAACUUCCCAAAGUGCUGGGAUUACAGGUGAGAACCACAGUGCCUGGCCUGAAUGGGUCUCUUUCUGAGAGCUGGGACUUUUCCUCUGCUGCCUUG